rnacentral:rRNA from 1 species
GAGAGUUUGAUCCUGGCUCAGGAUGAACGCUGGCGGCGUGCCUAACACAUGCAAGUCGAACGGAGAUUAUAAUAGCUUGCUAAUAUAAUCUUAGUGGCGGACGGCUGAGUAACACGUGGAUAACCUGCCCAUAGCACAGGGAUAACACUUAGAAAUAGGUGCUAAUACCUGAUAAGCUCACACGAAGGCAUCUGAGGGUGAGAAAAGAUUAUAUCGGCAAUGGAUGGGUCCGCGGCCUAUUAGCUAGUUGGUGGGGUAAAGGCCUACCAAGGCGACGAUAGGUAGCCGGAUUGAGAGAUUGAACGGCCAGAUUGGAACUGAGAACGGUCCAGACUUCUACGGAAGGCAGCAGUGGGGAAUAUUGCACAAUGGGGGGAACCCUGAUGCAGCAACGCCGCGUGAGGGAGGAAGUAUUUCGGUAUGUAAACCUCUAUCGAUUGGGAAGAAAAAAAUGACGGUACCAAAGUAAGAAGAACCGGCUAAAUACGUGCCAGCAGCCGCGGUAAUACGUAUGGUUCAAGCGUUAUCCGGAAUUACUGGGUGUAAAGGGUGAGUAGGCGGCAAUACAAGUCACAUGUGAAAGGUUAGAGCUCAACUCUAAGACAGCAUGAGAAACCGUAUAGCUAGAGUGCAGGAGAGGUAAGUGGAAUUCCUAGUGUAGCGGUGAAAUGCGUAGAUAUUAGGAAGAACACCAGUGGCGAAGGCGACUUACUGGACUGCAACUGACGCUGAGUCACGAAAGCGUGGGAGCGAACAGGAUUAGAUACCCUGGUAGUCCACGCCGUAAACGAUGAGUGCUAGGUAUUGGGACGAAUGAGUUUCAGUGCCGGAGCUAACGCAAUAAGCACUCCACCUGGGGAGUACGUUCGCAAGAAUGAAACUCAAAGGAAUUGACGGGGGCCCGCACAAGCGGUGGAGCAUGUGGUUUAAUUCGAAGCAACGCGAAGAACCUUACCAAGGCUUGACAUCCCAAUGAAUGGUAUAGAGAUAUACAGGCCCUACGGGGCAUUGGAGACAGGUGGUGCAUGGUUGUCGUCAGCUCGUGUCGUGAGAUGUUGGGUUAAGUCCCGCAACGAGCGCAACCCUUAUCUUUAGUAGCCAGCAUUAAGUUGGGGACUCUAGAGAGACUGCCAUGGUAACGUGGAGGAAGGUGGGGAUGACGUCAAAUCAUCAUGCCCUUUAUGUCUUGGGCUACACACGUGCUACAAUGGGUGAGAACAAAGUGAAGCGAGACGGUGACGUUAAGCAAAGCACAAAAAAGCACUCUCAGUUCGGAUUGUAGUCUGCAACCCGACUACAUGAAGAUGGAAUCGCUAGUAAUCGCAGAUCAGAAUGCUGCGGUGAAUACGUUCCCGGGCCUUGUACACACCGCCCGUCACACCAUGGGAGUUGGAAGUGCCCAAAGUCUGUGACCUAACCGUAAGGAAGGAGCAGCCUAAGGCAAAGCUAGCGACUAGGGUGAAGUCGUAACAAGGUAGCCGUAG